rnacentral:rRNA from 1 species
CGUAUCGGAUUUACUGGGCGUAAGCGCGCGUAGGUGGUUAAUUAAGUCAAAUGUGAAAUCCCCGAGCUUAACUUGGGAAUUGCAUUCGAUACUGGUUAGCUAGAGUAUGGGAGAGGAUGGUAGAAUUCCAGGUGUAGCGGUGAAAUGCGUAGAGAUCUGGAGGAAUACCGAUGGCGAAGGCAGCCAUCUGGCCUAAUACUGACACUGAGGUGCGAAAGCAUGGGGAGCAAACAGGAUUAGAUACCCUGGUAGUCCAUGCCGUAAACGAUGUCUACUAGCCGUUGGGGGAUUUGAUCCUUUAGUGGCGCAGCUAACGCGAUAAGUAGACCGCCUGGGGAGUACGGUCGCAAGACUAAAACUCAAAUGAAUUGACGGGGGCCCGCACAAGCGGUGGAGCAUGUGGUUUAAUUCGAUGCAACGCGAAGAACCUUACCUGGCCUUGACAUAGUAGAGACUUUCCAGAGAUGGAUUGGUGCCUUCGGGAAUCUACAUACAGGUGCUGCAUGGCUGUCGUCAGCUCGUGUCGUGAGAUGUUGGGUUAAGUCCCGCAACGAGCGCAACCCUUUUCCUUACUUGCCAGCAUUUCGGAUGGGAACUUUAAGGAUACUGCCAGUGACAAACUGGAGGAAGGCGGGGACGACGUCAAGUCAUCAUGGCCCUUACGGCCAGGGCUACACACGUGCUACAAUGGUCGGUACAAAGGGUUGCUACACAGCGAUGUGAUGCUAAUCUCAAAAAGCCGAUCGUAGUCCGGAUCGCAGUCUGCAACUCGACUGCGUGAAGUCGGAAUCGCUAGUAAUCGCGGAUCAGAAUGCCGCGGUGAAUACGUUCCCGGGCCUUGUACACACCGCCCGUCACACCAUGGGAGUUUGUUGCACCAGAAGUACUAGUCUAACCGCAAGGAGGACGCUUACCACGGUGUGCCGAUGACUGGGUGAU